rnacentral:rRNA from 1 species
UACAGAGGUCUCAACCGUUGUUCGGAUUCAUUGGGCGUAAAGGGUGCGUAGGCGGUCGCCGCAAGUCGGAUGUGAAAUCUCAGGGCUCAACCCUGAAACUGCAUUCGAUACUGCGUGGCUAGAGUGCUGGAGAGGAGACUGGAAUUUACGGUGUAGCAGUGAAAUGCGUAGAUAUCGUAAGGAAGACCAGUGGCGAAGGCGAGUCUCUGGACAGCAACUGACGCUGAGGCACGAAGGCCAGGGGAGCAAACGGG